GGCCGGGAACUCAAAGGAGACUGCCAGUGAUAAACUGGAGGAAGGUGGGGAUGACGUCAAGUCAUCAUGGCCCUUACGAGUAGGGCUACACACGUGCUACAAUGGCGCAUACAAAGAGAAGCGACCUCGCGAGAGCAAGCGGACCUCAUAAAGUGCGUCGUAGUCCGGAUUGGAGUCUGCAACUCGACUCCAUGAAGUCGGAAUCGCUAGUAAUCGUAGAUCAGAAUGCUACGGUGAAUACGUUCCCGGGCCUUGUACACACCGCCCGUCACACCAUGGGAGUGGGUUGCAAAAGAAGUAGGUAGCUUAACCUUCGGGAGGGCGCUUACCACUUUGUGAUUCAUGACUGGGGUGAAGUCGUAACAAGGUAACCGUAGGGGAACCUGCGGUUGGAUCACCUCCUUA
rnacentral:rRNA from 6 species